ACUAGUGAGAUAUGUUGUUUGCACAAAUUGUUUGCAGCAGAGCACGGUAAUUUAUUUGAGUAAAAUAAACAUUAUUUUUUACAUCAACUCAUAAGUUAUGUGAAACUUCCCCAGGAGCAUUGUUAAAAUACUUUGGAGGCACAGAAUCAGCCCAGAGCCAGUCCACAUCCUCAGACUCAACUGUGAGUGAUGAAUCAGGUCCAUCUCCAUCCUCUACAGUGCUCUCUCACACACCUCCACCCUCUGUGCCCACUGUCCCCUCCAUGUCUGAAACCACAGCUGAUUUAUCUACAACUUCCACCACAACGUCCCCUUCACACCAUGGACCAUCAUCAGCUCCGCCAGUUGACCCAGCUGAGUGGCCUUCUUUCCUCUCAGAUUCAGACAGGACUGAGCAGGU